rnacentral:rRNA from 1 species
UACGUAGGGGGCAAGCGUUGUCCGGAUUUAUUGGGCGUAAAGAGCGUGUAGGCGGCCAAGCAGGUCAGCUGUGAAAACUCGAGGCUCAACCUCGAGACGUCGGUUGAAACCGUAUGGCUAGAGUCCGGAAGAGGAGAGUGGAAUUCCCGGUGUAGCGGUGAAAUGCGCAGAUAUCGGGAAGAACACCCGUGGCGAAGGCGGCUCUCUGGGACGGUACUGACGCUGAGACGCGAAAGCGUGGGGAGCGAACAGG